AUGUGGGCAAUUUGGUGGGCCAGGAGAAUGGUCAUCCAUGAGAAUGAAUUUCAGAGCCCACUUUCCACUAUGAGUUUUAUUAAGAGAUUUUUGGUGGAGCUAGACAUAGCUAAUUCGCACAGACCCAGGGCAAAUGAAGUACGAGUGAACCGACCGAGAGCAAAAGUGUGGCUACCGCCCCCUGGCGAGGCUGCAAAGUUAAACUGUGACGAGGGCCUGUCAACUUUAGGAGUCAAAGGAGCAGCGGGAGUUGUAUGCCGUGACAAAUUUGGCAAGUUUUUAGGUGCAUCUGCGAUGGUUUUUGAUGGCCUCACCGACCCGGCAAGUCUGGAGGCACAUGCAUGCAGCGAAGCACUAGCUCAAGCCCGAGAUUUGAAUCUAUAG
rnacentral:rRNA from 1 species